rnacentral:piRNA from 1 species
UGUUCCUGUACAAACUGCCGCGAGACC